rnacentral:rRNA from 1 species
UACGUAGGGUGCAAGCGUUGUCCGGAAUUAUUGGGCGUAAAGAGCUCGUAGGCGGUUUGUCGCGUCUGCUGUGAAAACUCGGGGCUUAACUCCGGGCCUGCAGUGGGUACGGGCAGACUAGAGUGCGGUAGGGGAGACUGGAAUUCCUGGUGUAGCGGUGAAAUGCGCAGAUAUCAGGAGGAACACCGGUGGCGAAGGCGGAUCUCUGGGCCUGUCCUGACGCUCAGGCGCGAAAGCUAGGGGAGCAAACAGG